rnacentral:rRNA from 1 species
GACGAACGCUGGCGGCGUGCCUAAUACAUGCAAGUCGAGCGAAGUUUUUCUGGUGCUUGCACUAGAAAAACUUAGCGGCGAACGGGUGAGUAACACGUAAAGAACCUGCCUCAUAGACUGGGACAACUAUUGGAAACGAUAGCUAAUACCGGAUAACAGUAUUUCUCGCAUGAGAGAUAUUUAAAAGUUGGUUAUGCUAACACUAUGAGAUGGCUUUGCGGUGCAUUAGCUAGUUGGUGGGGUAAAGGCCCACCAAGGCGACGAUGCAUAGCCGACCUGUGUGGGUGAUCGGCCACACUGGGACUGAGACACGGCCCAGACUCCUACGGGAGGCAGCAGUAGGGAAUCUUCCGCAAUGGGCGAAAGCCUGACGGAGCAACGCCGCGUGAGUGAAGAAGGAUUUCGGUUCGUAAAGCUCUGUUGUUAGGGAAGAAUGGAUAUGUAGUAACUAUACAUGUAAGAGACGGUACCUAACCAGAAAGCCACGGCUAACUACGUG